AAUGAACAGUCAUCUUCCCAUGCUCGACACAUUUAUGCGGCUUUCCCGCAGAUGCUUCCACGCCAAGCCUUUUCAACUACUCAGCUGAGUUCUCUUCACCUACCUGCUCCCCUGCUCCAUUCCAGCACAUCUUCAACUACUCAGCUAUAACUUCUCUUCAACCAUGCUUUUCUUGCCUCCUACUUUUAAUUCAUGCCUAUAAUUUCAUAAAUUUAGUGAUGCUUGGAUUUAUUUCAAUGCAGUUGCCAUUAAUUUAAUGGCGUUUACUUUCUGUUCCAUUCGGAUGAAUAAACUGCUGUUUGGAUUAAUAAGUUUAGUCAUUUGAUUCAUUUUAAAAGAGCCAACCUUCUAACUUUGAAUGGAAUUUGGCGUUCGAAGAGGAAUAACUGUUGAACGUAGUUUUCUCGACAAAAAAAAGAGCUUUUCAUCUUCCCAUGCUCGACACGUCAAUGGCUAUUUCCCGCAGAUGCUUCCACGCCAAUCUCACUCCAUUCCGGCACAUCUUCAGCUACUCAGCUGAGCUCUCUUCAUCUAAAUCAACCAUGCUUCUCUUGAUUUCUUUCUCCUCCUUAAUUUGUGGGCAUUAAACUUUUAACUGUUAUACUUACUUUUCUUGCCAUCUCCAACCUGUUGUACCGGUUUCUUGCAAAGAUGGGAAUAUGGGUUGCAGUUAAAGCUUCCACCAUUAACAAUAAGCAAAGUGAGAACAAGGGUUUAUAUAUUAUUCUCAAGAACUUUCAAUUUAAUACCUACUCACUUACAUCUUUGCUCUUUGCGUGUGUAAGGUAAUUCCUACCCAUUAUUUCAUGCUGGAUUGUUUGAUGAUGUUGGAUUGAUUCCAACUUAAUUACCAUCAAUUUCUCCUGUUGCAUUCGGAUGGAAAUUUAGAUGUUUACUGUUCUACUCCUACGUUUCAUGUUGGAUUGUUUGAUGUUGUUGGAUUGAUUUCUAUUUAAUUGCCAUUACAUUUUUUUGUUGCAUUCAGAUGAAACUUUUAAUGUUUAAUGUUCUAUUGUUCUGAUUUAAAUUUAGAACCAUAAAUUUAUGUUCAUGUUUGGAUUGCUGAGGUUUGGAUUGAUUUAAAUUCAUUUGCGAUUAAUUAUAUUCUACUGCUCUCAGAUUUAAAUUCACCUAAAUCAACCAUGCUGGAUUGUUUGAUGAUGUUGGAUUGAUUCCAAUUUAAUUACCAUUAAUUUCUCUUGUUGCAUUCAGAUGGAAAUUUAGAUGUUUACUGUUGUACUCCUACCUUUCAUGCUGGAUUGUUUGAUGUUGUUGGAUUGAUUUCAAUUUAAUUGCCAUUACAUUUUUCUGUUGCAUUUAGAUGAAACUUUUAGUGUUUAAUGUUCUAUUGUUCUGAUUUAAAUUCAGAACCAUAAAUUUAUGUUCAUGUUUGGAUUGCUGAGGUUUGGAUUGAUUUAAAUUCAGUUGCGAUUAAUUUUAUUUUACUGCUCUCAGAUUUAAAUUCACCUAAGUCAACGAUGCUUGUCUUGCCUUCUUUCACCUCCUUAAUUUGUGGGUAUUUAAUGCUCUUCGAUUACCUACUCCACUCUAGCACAUCCAAUCUAUUGUACUGGUUUCUUGCACAGAUUUGUAAAUAUGUGUUGCAUUUAAAGCAUCUGCAAAGAAAAUUGAAGACAAGAGUCAAGAACUUUGAAUUGAGCUACUUACUCACUUCUAGCUUAGCUCUUUGCUAUGCAAGGUAAUUUAUUUAUGAUGUUUGGAUAGAUUUCAAUUGCCAUUAAAUUACAUUUUUACUGUUCUGCUGCUCUCAUUCUAGAUUUUGAAUGUUUGGACUGCUUUCAAUUGCCAUUAAUUUAUUUUUACUGUCUUACUGCUAGCAAAUACUGUUUGGAUUUAGUUUCAGUUAGACUGUCUUGAUUUAGGAUGUUUGGACAUUACUUUCUCUGGAUUUAUGAUGUUUGGAUUAGGUUGCAACUCUUAUUUUGUAGCUCUUAUCUCAAAUAUUAAAGUGUUAGGAUAAACUUCAUACAUCAUGUUUUGGCUGCUCUGAAUUUUUGUUUCAUUUUUACUGUUUUGCUUCUCUAAUUCUUGAUUUAGGAUGUUUGAACAUUAAUUCCUCUGGAUUUCUGAUGUUUGGAUUAGUUGCCAGCUCUUAUUUUUGUAGCUCUUAUCGCAAAUACUAAAUUAAAGUGUUAAGAUAAACUACAUUUUGAUUUGAUUUUGAAAUACAACAUGUUACCUUUCAUAUUUGCAAGUGGUCAGUGUUACCUUUGCUACUGGUUUGUGACAUGAAGAUUGUUACCUUUGGAUUUCUAAUUCAUAGUUGUUUUGCAUAUAGGAUUGUGUUUACUAAUGUUUACUUCCUUUUUCAUUUGGAUGAAAUAUUAAAUUCAGUAGCCAUAAGUUCAGUUGAUGUAAGUUCAGUUGCCAUUAAUUUUGUAUUGCUGUUCUGCAUUUGUUUGAUUCAUAUAUUGUUUGUGCUCAGUAAAAGUUACAUUCAGUUUUGUGACUUGGAUUGUAAUGCUUACAUGCUUCAUUGUGAGGGUUGUGAUAUUUAAUCGUUUAUUGUACUUCGCUCUGGUAAUCUUGAUCCUAAAUAAUACAUUCUCAAGGCGGCUUCCCCUAUGAUUUGUAACACCAAAUCUAUCUAUUAAGUAUAAAAAACGAGCAACAAAUUGUACUGUUCAUAACUUGAUCUAAUGAGCAAUUUGCUUUCUCUCUUCAACACGUCACUCCAUCUUUCCCGCAGAUCUAUCCACGCAUACCUCUUCAACAAAGCAGCAGCCCACACUCCAGCUACCUACUCCAUUCCAGCACAUCUUGAACUACUCAGAUGAGCUUUCUUCUCCUGAAUCAACCAUGCUUGUCUUACCUUCUUUCAACUCCUUAAUUUGUAGCCAUUUAAUGUUCUUCUAUUGUACUAUUUUUCUUGCCAUAUCCAAUCUGUUGUGCUGCUUUAUGUGGCUCUAAUUUCAACGGUUGUUCUUUCUGAUUAUGCUGCUUGAAAUAUGCAUAACAACUAUUUGUUCAUAUGCUCUAAUUUUUUUGUUUACAAUUUAAUUUUAGUGGAGUAUCGGUGUGCUCUAAUUUCAUAGUGUUUAGAUAAACUAAAUUUAAUGUUUUAUAAUGGUUUCGGUUUUACUGUUUUGCUUCUUAUUGCAAUUAUAAAGUGUUAGGACAUUAAUUUCUACUGUUCUCUGAUUUCGGAAUUGGAUUGGGUUGCAUUAUUUUUUAUAUUGUUGUGAUUCCAAGCUUCGAUUAGUCGUACAUUACUUUCUUGGCAUUAAUUUCGAAAUUUGUCUUAUUUAGUUUACUCAUUUGAUUCAUAACAUUAACAGUGUAAUCAGUUUAAUCAUUUGAUUCAUUGCAUUAUUUUUUAGAGUGUUGUUUUUUAUUGUGAAGAUUUGGUUGCGUCGCAUUAACUUCAGAUUCAUAAUCAACGUGGCUACCAAACGUCACAUACAAGAAAUUAUUCGCAUUUAAAGUUUUGUUAGUAUGAUAUGGUGGGGUUGAGAUGAGUUUAAUUCGUUGUUAUCAAUCAAUGGCCUUAGAAAAUUAAGUCAUUGCGACUUAGACAUUUAAGUACCCGCCUAUUUAUUGUGACAGGUUAUGGAUAAUCACAAUAAAGUGAUUGCAAUUUCUUUCAAGUAUCUUCUAAAGGAUCUUGUUAGAGUCUUAGAUACGGAGGAUCCUUUUUAUGGUACUUUAAGAAAUGUUUCUACAGUUGCUUUUGUAGUUCUUUUAAGCAGGGAGGAACAGAAAAGGUAUUUUACAUAGUUGGUAAGAUGUGCCCAACCUUGCUUGAAUCUGAAGAAUCAGUAGCUUAGAAUGUUAUACAAUCUCUUGUACUAGGUUUCUCCUUAAUCAUAGAUGACAUUAGCAAGAGUAAACAAGAGCGUUGUGAACAAUGCUUUGGGCUAUUUUUGAAGGCUAAGGGGAAUCGUAGUGCAUUUAGGAUCGAUGAAGUUGUGGAGAAAAAAAUUGUUAUGGACCUUCUUAAACAUAUUCAAAAUGAGAUGGAUAUUCAUUUAACUAAGUCUUAUUGUAUCAAAUUGGGUUCUGCUAAGUUUUUUUCAUGGAUUGGUGUGCGUCGUCUUCGAGAGUCUAACGAAUUAGAGUGGAUCGUAGGCGAAGAUUGUUUCACUGCUAACACUGCUAUACAAUCAAUGACUAAAAAGGUAAUUGAGUUCUUAGAACCUAUAUACCAUUUUGAGGUUAGAGAUGUGAAUUACAAGACUGUGAAGAAAUCUAGGUCUUUUUCUUUGUUACAAAGGGAGAACUAUUUAGGUGCUAUGGAAAUGAAAUAUGGCUUUAUUGAACGGGAGGUUCAACUAGGGGAACAAACAACUAACCAAUGUGUCACUCCUACUUCAACAACCUCACACAUCCUUCUUUCAAGUGUAUUACCUCCACCUCCAAAGAAACGCAAAGUCACCACAAAAUGGUCAGUUUAUGCAACUGUCUUUGGAUCUACCUGAGGUGUUUAAACAUACAUAAUGAGCCUGCUUUGGUGUUUUCUUAUGUUUGCUUCUUAGAAGCAACACUUAAUUAGAUGUGUUUUGGUGUUUGCCUAUGUUAUUAAGGAAUGUAUAGAGGUGAUCAUCUUUUGUAAAGAAUUUUAGUAGUUCGCAUUCAAUAUAAUGUACUCCUUUUUUAUGGCUAAAUUCCAUGCUUUUGUAAUGGAUCUUCCUUAUUAAUCUAAGAAUGGUUCCUACUUUUAUGAACAACUUUUAUACUUUGUAAGGUUAAAUGUAGCUCCUAAAGAUUUGAUUCUUUACCUUUCUUUUUGUCACGUGUUGGUCUGAUCUAAUAGUUUAAGUGUAUGAUUCAAUAGUUAUUACAUACACUGUUCCUAUGAUCGUUGCGUUGCUAAUGUGUGUUGUGCUACUGGUUGGUCUGGUUGAAUGUAUUGAAAUGUGCAGUUUAUGCCUUGGUAUUACUACUGUUUAUGCACGUUGUACCUUGAUACUACUGUUUAUGCACGUUGUACCUUGAUACUUAAUAUUGAUGUACUUUGUAAGGUUAAAUGUACCUUGAUACUUAAUAUUCACUGUUUACUACAGAAUUCUUUUCUUAUAACGCGACACAUCCUUUUGAACCUAAAUAUUGCUUUCCAGAGUUUGUUGAGCAUCAUGUUUGGCAUUCACAAAGCAAAAGUUGGAACAAACGAAAGCAAGGUACAUCGAUUGGUCGUCUUGCAUUUGUUGCACCGUCUGAAGGUGAACGUUAUCUUUUAAGAUUGUUGUUAGCACGCGUAGCUGGUCCAUGCUCUUUUGCUGAUCUACUCACAGUUGACGGCCACAAAUGUUCAACAUUCCAUGAAGCCGCUUUGAAACGUGGUAUAGUUGAGCCUGAUGAUUGGAUUGAUCGACGCUUGGAUUACGCAGUUACUGUACAACAGCCUCAUGCUUUACGAAGGUUGUUUGGCACAAUUCUUUUUUUCCUGGUACCGAGUAAUCCUGCUCAAAUGUGGGAUAGGUAUUAUGUUCACUUAUCAGAGGAUUAUGCAGGUAAGCAUCCAUGUUAGCCUCAUAGAAUUUUAUCUCUAACUUGUCAAUCACUUGCCUAUUUUUUGGAGAACAUGGGAAAGAGUCUUAAAGAUUAUGGUUUACAACACCUUUGUCAAGAGAUGUUAUUGAUGCUCUUGAUGCUCCUAUUCCGAGGCAUGUAAUGCUGCAAGGAAACAAAUCAACAAUGAACAACGAACUGCAUACAAGUGUAUUAUUUCUCAUGUCAAAAGGAAAAAACCGGGUCUAUUUUUCAUUGAUGGCCCAGGGGGAACUGGCAAGACCUUUUUAUAUCGUGCACUGUAUGCAAAGGUACACCUGCUCAAUCAAAUUGUGUUACCGACAACAACUUCUGGUAUUGCAGCUUCCAACAUACCUACUAGUCGUACUGCGCAUUCUAGGUUUAAACUACCAGUUGAUUGUGGACAAUCCUUUACAUGUAAUGUCAAUAAGCAAUCAAGUCUUGCUUCUCUUAUUAAGGAAAGUUCACUGAUUAUAUGGGAGGAAGCUUCCAUGGCUCGUAGAGAGAACAUCGAGUCACUUGAUUUGCUUUUACGUGAUCUAUGUUUACCUGAUGUUCCCUUUGGUGUUAAGGUUGUUGUUCUUGGUGGUGACUUUCGUCAAACUAUUCCAAUUGUUCCCAAGAAAUCACAACAAGAAAUAAUUGGUUACAGCUUAGUUAGUUCACACUUGUAGCCUCUUUUCACCCGAUUUGAACUAACUGUAAAUAUGCGAGCACGAGAAGAUCCAAAAUUUUCCAGGUUUUUGCUAGCAUUAGGCAACGGUGAACUUCAAAUGCAAGAAACUGAGUUAGUUAAUAUUCCAAAGAGCUUGAAUUUGAGUUGUAGAAAAUAUCCUACAACCUUUGAGGAUCUAUUGCAAGCAAUAUAUUCCAAUAUUUCGACUCAGUCUAUCCAUCCAUCAUUUUUUGCUGAACGUGCUAUAUUGACACCUCGGAAUGAAGAUGUUGAUUUGAUCAAUUCAAAUGUUGGACCUCCUGAGUUUUGAUGAUGACUACACUUUAUUUAAGCAAAUAUAUUUGUAGAGUUUGUGUGCAGGUCAAUAUCCGAUCUUGACUAUGAUCGUUGAUAGCACCUAUAACUUGGUCUAUGGAAAUGUACAUGUCAAAAAGAUCCAAAAGAUGUUAGGAGAGUAUAUCGCUUAGGAUGUAAAAUGGAGACAGGAGGUCUACUGUUCCCAAGUUUGAUGUUCUAACAAAACUGGAGAUUGGAGACAGCACACUGUUCCUUUGUCGAAGUCAACUGAAAAUACGUCUACUAAAUUUCUGCUUUUAAUUAUAUUUUUAUUUUUAGUUUAUGUAUUAAAUAAAGUUAAUUUGUUGCAUUUAUAAUUUAUUUAAGUUAAUUGGCAAAGCAUUUUUCAAAAUAUCUAAUGUUUUUAAUUAACCUUUAUUUUAGGAUUUAUAUUUAGUAAAUAAAUUGAAUUUACUAAAUAUAGGAACAACAGUCGUUUUCUGUGGGAGUUUAGAAUAACUAUUUCCUAAAAAUUAGUAAAUAGGUAACCAUCCCUAUUAUUAGUAAUUAGCAACCGUCCCUAUUAUUAGUAAGUUCCACCGUAUCUUUUUUUAGCUUAAAGUUCCAGCAGUUAUAAUUGAAAAAAGGAACUGCAGCUAAAUUUAGUACAAGGGAACUGCUGCUUAAGGGAACAGAAGCUAUUAUUAGUAAAUGGGAACAACGGUGAUUGUUAGAAAAAUCGUGCACUUGAAUUGGUCAAGUCUAAUGCCUAUUUUCAGAGAAUAACCGAUUGUUGACUUGGAUUUUAGGAUCCACGUUACUCCCUUUAUUAUUUGGGUUAAGGGAAUAAUAGUUGGGAUAUUCCAUUUUAUUAGGAAGUUUAUUUCUAUAAAUAGCAAUCCAAUUUCGGUUGUUCCUAAGUAUCCAACGUAUGAGCUUUCACCUAUUCAUGCGAUAUUUUUGGAAUUUUUACAAGAAAAUUUUGUUUUAAAAUUGCCAAUUAAUUUAUAAUAUUUUCUUGUGCAACUUAUUGAUUUUAUUGUUAGAGAAUUUUUAUCCUUUUUGUAAAGGAUUUUGAGUGAUAUUUGUAAUUAGACUUGGGUGAGUCUAAGGGGGAAUUAGAUAGCUUUUAGUGAAACUAUUGUGGAGUUUAGCUUUUAGUAAAGCUAAGUUUGUUGCUUUGAGUGAAGCAAUAGUAAAGAGAGAUUGGCGUAGUUGAUACGCUUCGAGUGAAGUAAGGUGUUUAAUGUAAUUGUAACGAGUUGCCUUAAACAUAGUGGAGAAAUUAGAAAUCCCGUGGGGUCGUGAUUUUUCCUUCUAAUUAGGCCUAGAAGGUUUCCACGUAAAAUCGUGUUGUCUCUUUCAUUUAUUUCGCUCUAAGUUUAAGCUUUAUUUAUUUUAUUUAUUUCCGCAAAAACAGGGCAAAAACGCUUAAACUAGUAAAACAACAAUUCGCGCAUAAAUCUCAGGCCCUCAGAAUCAUCUGGUUAUACAUUCCAAUUUCAGAGAUUGCAAUUUUCGAUCAAGUUGUGCUUUGCAAUGAUUAUUAAUAAAUCACAAGGUCAAUCUCUACAUGAAGUUGGAGUGUACAUUCGAUAACCAUGUUUUUCUCAUGGGUAGCUGUACGUUGCACUUUCUCGGGCCAGGAAAGCCAGCAACAUAAAGGUGUUAGAUGAAAGUUCAAUAGAACAGAAGGCAACAUCAUCAUGUGUUACAAAUGUGGUUUCGUAUGAUCUUUUGAAGAAAGCGGGCAUUAUAUGAUAGUGUUUUGAUAAGGGUGGUGAUUUGUGGUGUAUAUCCAAGAAGAGCGAUCUUGGAUAAAAGCAUUGCUCGAAAAUUGUAGCUACAAUGAUAUAAGAAAAUUUAUUGGGUGUGAUCAAUGCAAUAAAAAGACAGACAAUGAAAGGAAUGAAGUUUUUGAAUGUCCAUGGUGCCACAAGAAAUAGAGCAUCGCUAAGCCACGAUUAACGCUCACUUUUGACGCCCACGAUAGCACGGGCUCUAUCCAACUAACUGCAUUCAAUGACACCAUAGCAUAACUCUUUGGAAAGAUUAUCGAUGAAUUAUAUAGUCCAGCUACUUAUGUAAGGCAAAAAUCUCUAAAAUCUAACCUUGCCAAAUUCGUAACUUAAUCAUUAGUACACUUACUACUAUUAGUUUAUCUUCACUAAACAUGAACAUAUUGAAUCUUAUCAAGACAUUGCUCAAUCCCUACGAGUGAAACCGAUUGAGAUACAGCUGGGUCCAACUGUCGCUUUAUCUAAAAGUGGUGUGCUAAAGUGGGUUCUAAAAUCAAUUGCAAUUGCCCCAGAUACUUCAACAAAUCCACAACACUUGGCCUGCAAGUUGUCCGAGACUCAUUCAUCACAAGAAAGUGUACCUGCUCAACUAACUGAUGCUACUUCUUUACAUGCUCCAGGACCAUCAUUUGCAUCGCAUAAAGUAGAUACCGAUCCCAUUCAUCAGAGGAAAUUGUACCAGCUCCAUUGACUAUUGCUCCUUCAAAUGAUCCACAACUGUCAUCUGCAUCAAAUAAAGUAGGGACAAUGAAGCAUAGUUUAGAUUUUUCGGAUGCAACUACUUCUUCCGAUGUAUUGGACUUCAAUGCUUGAGUUGUCUAUGAUGUUAGCUUUUGAAACACAAUCUUAAAUAUUGUUGCCUUUUUGAAACACUUCUUUGGCAACUCCAAUUAUUAGGAGCUCUAACUUUUCAUGCUAGCCCACCACAACCAUGUUCAUUUUGCUUAACUAUUUAUUGAACAUGUAGUACUAUCUUUGCUUUUGUAUUACA